rnacentral:rRNA from 1 species
AGAGUUUGAUCCUGGCUCAGGACGAACGCUGGCGGCGCGCUUAAUGCAUGCAAGUCGAACGGUGAACCCGACUUCGGUCGGUGGAUCAGUGGCAGACGGCUGAGUAACACGUAAGUAACCAACCCUUGGGUGGGGAAUAACAUUGGGAAACCAAUGCUAAUACCGCAUAGUCUUUGAAAUCAAAUGGUUUCAAUGUAAAGGCUUCGGUCGCCCGAGGACGGGCUUGCGGCUUAUCAGGUUGUUGGUGGGGUAAUGGCCUACCAAGCCUACGACGGGUAACUGGUCUGAGAGGACGAUCAGUCAGAGGGGGACUGCGACACGGCCCCCACUCCUACGGGAGGCAGCAGCAGGGAAUCUUGCGCAAUGGACGAAAGUCUGACGCAGCGACGCCGCGUGAAGGAAGAAGGCUCUAGGGUUGUAAACUUCUUUUCUGAGGGAAGAGUAAGGACGGUACCUCAGGAAUAAGCCUCGGCUAACUACGUGCCAGCAGCCGCGGUAAUACGUAGGAGGCAAGCGUUGUCCGGAUUUAUUGGGCGUAAAGGGCGUGCAGGUGGCAUAGAAAGUUUUUGUUGAAAUCUCCCGGCUUAACUGGGAGGGGUGCAAGAAUACUUCUAAGCUAGAGGGCAGUAGAGGAAAGUGGAAUUCAUGGUGUAGUGGUGAAAUGCGUAGAUAUCAUGAGGAACACCAGUGGCGAAAGCGGCUUUCUGGGCUGCACCUGACACUGAGGCGCGAAAGCAUGGGUAGCAAACCGGAUUAGAUACCCGGGUAGUCCAUGCCAUAAACGAUGGAUACUGAGUAUGGGGGGUAUCGACCCCUUCUGUGCUGAAGCUAACGCGUUAAGUAUCCCGCCUGGGAACUACGGUCGCAAGACUAAAACUCAAAGGAAUUGACGGGGCCCCGCACAAGCAGCGGAGCGUGUGNNUCCGGAUUCAUUGGGCGUAAAGGGAGAGCAGGUGGCUGAGUUCGUCCGUGGUGCAAGCUCCAGGCUUAACUUGGAGAGGUCUACGGAUACUGCUCGGCUUGAGGACGGUAGAGGAGCACGGAAUUCCUGGUGUAGUGGUGAAAUGC